rnacentral:lncRNA from 1 species
CGCCGCCGCCUACAUGGCGUGAGAAACCCUAGUUUCCGCCGCUGCAUACAUGGCUGCUCCGGCGUCGGUGCCGCUCGCUGCCUCCAUGCUUGACAAAUCUGGACUCAAUCUACUGUCUAUCUACAACAACUUUUCCCUUCCCGCAACGAAACAAUUUCACGCAGAGCCCUAGUGGUACCUCUUCUCUUCUGCAAGGUGCUGAAUCCUCCCGUCGACUUGAGACGAGCCCACCAGUCCCUAAUCACAGCGGGACUAAGGUUACUACCUCGGGCUGUUCAGCCCUUGCGGCUAAGUAUGCGUCUGUGUCUUACGCUGCUGCGACUGUGAAACCAAGGCAGCCAUCGAAAGCCGGAUGUUGUGGUUCAUCGUUGCUCCUCUUUGCAACCAGUUAUAUCAGACGCAUGUUCAAGAAUUCCAACACGCCCUCAUUGGGCGGCUCCUUAUCCGAAAGAGAGAUAAACCGAGACCUCUUCAGGACCUAAGGAACGA